UUCAUCACCACCGCCUUCAAGGAGCGGAGCGUGCCCGUCAGCAUCGCCCUGUCCCGGGUCACGCUAAAAACUGUAGAAGAUUUCACUGGACCUAGAGAAAGAAGUGAUCCGGGAUUCGUCACAUUUGACAUUACUGCAGAUCUGCAGAGCAUAUUUGACUGGAAUGUUAAACAAUUGUUUCUAUAUUUGUCUGCAGAAUAUUCAACGAAAAACAAUGCUCUAAACCAGGUGGUCCUUUGGGACAAGAUCAUGUUGAGAGGAGAUAACCCGAGGCUGUUCUUAAAAGACAUGAAGUCAAAGUACUUUUUCUUUGAUGAUGGAAAUGGUCUCAAGGGAAACAGGAAUGUCACUUUGACUCUCUCCUGGAAUGUUGUACCAAAUGCUGGCGUUCUCCCUCUUGUAACAGGAUCGGGACACGUGUCUGUACCUUUCCCAGGUACCUAUGGAACAACAAAAGUUAUUAUUCAUUCUCCUAUAAUUAUUAAUCAGCUAAUAACCACCUCAAAACUUUCUACAAGCCUCAGCAAACCAUGA